rnacentral:rRNA from 1 species
GGUGCUCGAGUGGCGAACGGGUGAGUAACACGUGAGUAACCUGCCCUUGACUUUGGGAUAACUUCAGGAAACUGGGGCUAAUACCGGAUAGGAGCUCCUGCUGCAUGGUGGGGGUUGGAAAGUUUCGGCGGUUGGGGAUGGACUCGCGGCUUAUCAGCCUGUUGGUGGGGUAGUGGCUUACCAAGGCUUUGACGGGUAGCCGGCCUGAGGGGUGACCGGCCACAUUGGGACUGAGAUACGGCCCAG